ACAGCCAUACCACCCUGAACACGCCUGAUCUUGUCUGAUCUCGGAAGCUAAGCAGGGUCGGGCCUGGUUAGUACUUGGAUGGAAGUUAAUAAUUUUGAACUGAAUUUUAUGCUUAGCCUGUU
rnacentral:rRNA from 1 species